CUUCUCGACACGUUUGUUCCUGGUUUGCAUAGUUUUUCGGCAGCUUCUAUUUCCAUCUCGGCAGCGCAUCCUUCUGGAGGGCAUCUCAACACUUUGUGCCUUCGAUUUAUCGCAGACGCAACUUGUCCUUUCUAGUCAUUUUUCUUUCUCUUGGUAAUUUCGGCAUUUUUUUGUCUGGUAAUUUUUGGCUAUUUUGCACUUCUACGUGGGUAUCUCUCGGUUUAUCUUUGAUUUGCUUUGUGUCGGAAUUUAUUUAUUUGUGAUGAACUCUGCACCUGUGUGUGUCAAGUUUAUAGGCACAAACUACUCUACUUGGGCAUUUCAGUUUGAACUUUUCCUCAAGGGAAAGGAUCUUUGGGGUCAUAUUGAUGGCACGGAUGUUGCCCCAAAAUCCACUACUGACAAAUCCAAAGAUCUUGGGGCUUCUCCUUCAUGGGUUGUACUUGAUGCUCGGAUUAUGUCUUGGCUUCUUUGUUGGGUGGAGCCACAUAUUGUUACCAACUUGCGGGCUUAUCGCUCUGCUCAAUCCAUGUGGAAUUACUUGAAAAAGGUUUAUCAUCAAGCUAAUGAUGCUCGCCACUUUCAGUUAGAACAUGCGAUUGCCAUAUUUCAACAUGAUAAAGGGUCACAUUAUCAAAGAAUGUCAUAUCCGCCCCCAGAAUCGUCAAGCCCAAGCAUUUCAGACUUCUGUUAUUAUUCCUUCCGCAACAACUUCUAUAGCACAUGGCUCUUCCUCAGGUGCUUCCUUUGAUCUUGUACCUCCUGCAACAAAUUACUGCACACCAGAAAUGGUGCAACAGAUGCCAAUUUCGGCAUUAUCUGUAAUGGGGUUUCAAGGACCAGGUAACGGGGGAGCCGAUCGCGAAGGGAGCUAAAGUGGGGCACUUUUUUCUACUAUUUUUACCUGUUCCAGCACUUUCUCCAGUUUCUUCUAUUAAGUUUUUGCUUAUAAUAAUGUUCUUGAUUUGAGGUAUGGUGUGGCAUCGUCGUUUAGGCCAUCCCAAUCCUCAGAUCUUAUCUCAUGUAUUGCACUCUGUU